UUAUUAUUCUCUUGAUGGCCC
rnacentral:miRNA from 1 species